GUAAAUAUCUUCUAGUUAUUGUGAGAGAAAAAUGGUUUGAACUGCUGUACUUUUUAUCACAGCAGCUCGACAGUAUUCACACUCUCUGUGGUGUUCAUUUGCCUGAGGCCGAUUGUCUCCUACACAUUUUAUAUGCUGUCUGUGAUCAUGGAGGGAUUUGUGUUUUUUAUGAGUUUGUAUAUCAUGUUUGGCUGAAAUAUUUAGUGCAAGUUGCUUUAGUGCAAGAUUUAUACAUAUUUCCCAGUUUAAUAAAUAUGCAUGUUACCUCACUUUUUUUAACAGUACAAAUAAUGGCAAUAUUGAUAGUAUACAUAAUAAGAAGUUGCAGUGGUUUUAAGAAAAGAAAAAAUCUUUUCCUAUAUGUUCAGUUUCACGCAUAAACAUACAGCACUUGUGUCUGCGACACCGUAAACAGAUUCUUUAAAAGGCCUCUUGUGAUGUGUGUCGGUCAUCUAAACAGAAUGCAGUACUUUGCCUGCAAAGAUAUAUGUCAAAGCCGGCGGUUAAACUGGACUGAAAUAAAAAUAAAUUUUUCUUAGAGAUCUGUUUAUAAAUCAUUGGUAUUGGUACAAGAAAAUUACAAAACAAAUAAAUAAAUAAAAAAAUCAUGCCUUUUAUCAGAUCCAUUUGCAGUGCAGUGCAGCAAACAUGCCACAGCAGUCCAGGACAAACGUACUGUAAUGUUGCAUAUGCAGUCAACACAAGGUAAGAUCAUUGACUAUGCCUCUAUGGGGAACACAAAGUAGAGCAGCUUGAUUUUUGGGCAGAGAGGGAGGGAGAGAGAGAGAGAGAGAGAGAGAGAGAGAGAGACCAGAUCUAUUGCUCUUUUAUAAUACUCUAAAAUGUACCUUUUUAUGUCAGUUCUUUACAAACCGACUUUCUCUCACCUGGCCUGUGUUAGGUUGAAAUUUUAAGUUUCGGCACUGAUCUUAAUCUGUCUCUCUCCCUCUCUCUUUCUUUGCUCUAAAACACUUCAUUUUUGUCUGCUUCCUCCUCUGCACUUGAUUUGAUUUGAUUUGCUUUGUGCUAAGAACUGUCUAUCAGUGACCAUCAAUUCUAUCUUCAUGACAUGAGAGUUUCCUAAUUGCUGUAGCGUGAGAUCACUUUUGGUCCAUUAACUUACCAUGUAACCAAAUGGACUUAUUGCUAAAAUGACUUUGGCAGGUUCAGAGAAUGAAGGGCUGCAAAAAUGACUUAUCUACCUAUUAAUCAUGAGUAAAAUAGAUUUGGUACUAAGGUGUACACAGCUGAAAUCACAACCAUAAUAGAACCAAGAACUUAAUGUUUUGAACAUUAGCAAAGGACACCAACUGGAUGUGAUAACAUUAUUUUGGCUGUCUUCAACAAUUAGUCAUGGUCCACACUAGAUGUACAAUAAA